GAUGAACGCUAGCGGCAGGCCUAACACAUGCAAGUCGAGGGGUAGAAGUUGCUUGCAACUUUGAGACCGGCGCACGGGUGCGUAACGCGUAUGCAAUCUGCCUUGUACUGAGGGAUAGCCCAGAGAAAUUUGGAUUAAUACCUCAUAGUAUUAUGGUGUGCAUCACAUUAUAAUUAAAGUUCCAACGGUACAAGAUGAGCAUGCGUCCCAUUAGUUAGUUGGUAAGGUAACGGCUUACCAAGACGAUGAUGGGUAGGGGUCCUGAGAGGGAGAUCCCCCACACUGGUACUGAGACACGGACCAGACUCCUACGGGAGGCAGCAGUGAGGAAUAUUGGUCAAUGGGCGCAAGCCUGAACCAGCCAUGCCGCGUGCAGGAUGACGGUCCUAUGGAUUGUAAACUGCUUUUAUACGGGAAGAAACACUCCUACGUGUAGGAACUUGACGGUACCGUAAGAAUAAGGAUCGGCUAACUCCGUGCCAGCCGCCGCGGUAAUAC
rnacentral:rRNA from 1 species